AUGAACGCUGGCGGCGUGCCUAAUACCUGCAAGUCGCGCGAACAGACGAGGAGCUUGCUCCUUCGACGUUAGCGGCGGACGGGUGAGUAACACGUAGGUAACCUACCUAUAAGACUGGGAUAACUUCGGGAAACCGGAGCUAAUACCGGAUAAUAUUUCGAACCGCAUGGUUCGAUAGUGAAAGAUGGCUUUGCUAUCACUUAUAGAUGGACCUGCGCCGUAUUAGCUAGUUGGUAAGGUAACGGCUUACCAAGGCAACGAUACGUAGCCGACCUGAGAGGGUGAUCGGCCACACUGGAACUGAGACACGGUCCAGACUCCUACGGGAGGCAGCAGUAGGGAAUCUUCCGCAAUGGGCGAAAGCCUGACGGAGCAACGCCGCGUGAGUGAUGAAGGUCUUCGGAUCGUAAAACUCUGUUAUUAGGGAAGAACAAACGUGUAAGUAACUGUGCACGUCUUGACGGUACCUAAUCAGAAAGCCACGGCUAACUACGUG
rnacentral:rRNA from 1 species